rnacentral:rRNA from 1 species
UACGUAGGGUGCAAGCGUUAAUCGGAAUUACUGGGCGUAAAGCGUGCGCAGGCGGUUUUGUAAGUCUGAUGUGAAAUCCCCGGGCUCAACCUGGGAAUUGCAUUGGAGACUGCAAGGCUAGAAUCUGGUAGAGGGGGGUAGAAUUCCACGUGUAGCAGUGAAAUGCGUAGAGAUGUGGAGGAACACCGAUGGCGAAGGCAGCCCCCUGGGUCAAGAUUGACGCUCAUGCACGAAAGCGUGGGGAGCAAACAGG